rnacentral:rRNA from 1 species
AUUGAACGCUGGCGGCAGGCCUAACACAUGCAAGUCGAACGGUAACAGAACUAGCUUGCUAGUUGCUGACGAGUGGCGGACGGGUGAGUAAUGCUUGGGAAUUUGCCUUUAGGAGGGGGAUAACCACUGGAAACGGUGGCUAAUACCGCAUAAUGUCUACGGACCAAAGGGGGCUUUUAGCUCCCACCUAUAGAGAAGCCCAAGUGAGAUUAGAUAGUUGGUGAGGUAAAGGCUCACCAAGGCGACGAUCUCUAGCUGUUCUGAGAGGAAGAUCAGCCACACUGGAACUGAGACACGGUCCAGACUCCUACGGGAGGCAGCAGUGGGGAAUAUUGCACAAUGGGGGAAACCCUGAUGCAGCCAUGCCGCGUGUGUGAAGAAGGCCUUCGGGUUGUAAAGCACUUUCAGUUGUGAGGAAAGGUUAGUAGUUAAUACCUGCUAGCUGUGACGUUAACAACAGAAGAAGCACCGGCUAACUCCGU